GUCAAAGGGAACCAGAGUAGGUGGACUGAAGCAUCAGAUUACACAUAUGAUACCAUAUAGACUCCUGUUCAUACUGUAUACAGAUUCAAAUAAACCACCCUAAUGGAGACCCACCGUGGAUCGGAAGAGCAUCGUGU